rnacentral:rRNA from 1 species
UACGUAGGGGGCUAGCGUUGUCCGGAAUCAUUGGGCGUAAAGCGCGCGUGGCGGCCCGGUAAGUCCGCUGUAAAAGUCAAAGGCUCAACCUUUGAAUGUCAGUGGAUACUGCCGGGCUAGAGUCCGGAAGAGGCGAGUGGAACUCCUGGUGUAGCGGUGGAAUGCGCAGAUAUCAGGAAGAACACCGACGGCGAAGGCAGCUCGCUGGGACGGUACUGACGCUGAGGCGCGAAAGCGUGGGGAGCGAACAGG